AGUUAAAUAAAUUUAAUUCAAUAUUAUGUUACAAUCUAGUUGGCAAUCAAUUCGAAAAAAGCUCUAUAAGUAUUGUUAUAUGUCAUUAAAAAAGGCUUCAAUACUGUUAAAUUUUAAAGGUGAAAUUAUCAAAAUUCAGCAAACCUAUCAAAAGGUAUAACGUUUUAGAUAUGUAGAUAAUAGUUCAGUGCUUAAGAUUUUCGGGCAGUUGUAGAUUCAUGCUUUGGACAAAAGUUACAGGAAAUUGUUAUGGAGAUUUUUAAAACAUUUAAAUAUUUAUUUUUUAUAGUUAUUUUUUUUUAAAUAACUAUAAAAAAAUAUAUCUGCAAUACCUUGUAUUUAAAAAAAAAUAUUUUAGUUAUUUUUUUUAAAAUACAAGGUCUUGCAGAAACCUUUGAUACAAAGUUUCCUUUAACUUGAAAAAUUCACAUUAUAAUGAGUCACCCAGCUAACACAAAACGUUCUAGCACGUUCGACGAACGUUGCGAACGUUCGAGCACGUUCUAUGAACGUUUAUAAAUCUUCCGAAAAAUUUUGUAUACACAAUUUAAAAUUAACGUUCAAGCAACGUUGCCACAAAGUUCAUUUAGGUUAGGAAAUAAAGUUCUUAUUAGUAGGAAAAUUAUUACCUAUUUUUAUUUGUUAAUUCUAGGAACCAUUUCAUUGAAAACUUGAAUUUACUAAAGAAAAGAUCUUAUAUGAAGAAAGCAAUCGAAGAAAGAAAGUAUUUUGCUCUAUAACUGAUCAAACGAUAAUCAGAAACUUAAUAGCUUAGUGGUUUUGAAUAAAAUAGAUGUAACUACUAUCCUCAAUAGUUUGCCAGAUAGUGCACCAUCAUAUCAUGAUACGCACUAUUCAUGCACUAUUUUUAUCAUGAUAAAAAUAAACAUUUACAGUAGUCGCGAAGCAGUAGUUAUUGUACUUUAAUCAUUGCGUCGUGUUGAUGUCAAAGAAAACGGAGACUCAAAGAGAAAAAAAAUUUCUUUUGACUUUAUUAUUUUGAGAAUUUUUUAGCGAAUGUAAAGAUGUUUCACUUGCAUUGCCUGUAAAUGAAACUGAUGUAAAUAAGAAUGAUGUAAAUGAAACUGAUGUAAAUGAGACUGAUGUAAAUGAAACUGAUGUAAAUGAGACUCUUUUUAUGCUAGUCCACUAAAAGCAUACUCAUUAAAACAAAACAAAAUACCAAAUUGGUGUUUGUUAUAAAAUAAUAUUAUACUAUUUUAGCAAUAAUAAAUUUAUGUUGAACUAGAAUGUCAUUUUUAUUAAAUUUUAAAAUAAAACAAUAUAUUUUUAAUAGGUUUUGCUUUUACAAAAAACGUAUUUAAAGUUACCUCAUAUGUGGGGUAAAAACAGGUAACUUCGAAUGAUAAUUUGAUUAAUAUUAAACAAAAUCCUUUUGUUUAAAUAUUAUUUUGAAACUGAAUUACGUAAAAGACAACCAUAGCCCCUAUAUUCAUUUUGUUAUAUUUCAAAUAUUAUCAAUAGUGAAGAGCAAGUAAAAAUAUCUCAAA